AGAGUUUGAUCCUGGCUCAGAGCGAACGCUGGCGGCGUGCCUAACACAUGCAAGUCGAGCGCCCCGCAAGGGGAGCGGCAGACGGGAGAGUAACACGUGGGAACGUACCCUUCGGUUCGGAACAACCCAGGGAAACUUGGGCUAAUACCGGAUACGUCAGUAAGGAGAAAGAUUCAUCGCCGGAAGAUCGGCCCGCGUCC
rnacentral:rRNA from 1 species